CCCGUGGGUAACCCUCCCUUAAGACUGGGAUAACUCCGGGAAACCGGGGCUAAUACCGGAUGCUUGAUUGAACCGCAUGGUUCAAUUAUAAAAGGUGGCUUUCAGCUACCACUUGCAGAUGGACCCGCGGCGCAUUAGCUAGUUGGUGAGGUAACGGCUCACCAAGGCGACGAUGCGUAGCCGACCUGAGAGGGUGAUCGGCCACACUGGGACUGAGACACGGCCCAGACUCCUACGGGAGGCAGCAGUAGGGAAUCUUCCGCAAUGGACGAAAGUCUGACGGAGCAACGCCGCGUGAGUGAUGAAGGUUUUCGGAUCGUAAAACUCUGUUGUUAGGGAAGAACAAGUACCGUUCGAAUAGGGCGGUACCUUGACGGUACCUAACCAGAAAGCCACGGCUAACUACGUGCCAGCAGCCGCGGUAAUACGUAGGUGGCAAGCGUUGUCCGGAAUUAUUGGGCGUAAAGCGCGCGCAGGCGGUUUCUUAAGUCUGAUGUGAAAGCCCCCGGCUCAACCGGGGAGGGUCAUUGGAAACUGGGGAACUUGAGUGCAGAAGAGGAGAGUGGAAUUCCACGUGUAGCGGUGAAAUGCGUAGAGAUGUGGAGGAACACCAGUGGCGAAGGCGACUCUCUGGUCUGUAACUGACGCUGAGGCGCGAAAGCGUGGGGAGCGAACAGGAUUAGAUACCCUGGUAGUCCACGCCGUAAACGAUGAGUGCUAAGUGUUAGAGGGUUUCGCGCCCUUUAGUGCUGCUCAUCGACUCAGACGCAUUGAGAUCACUCCGCCUGGGGAGUACGGUCGCAAGACGUCCUAUUUUAG
rnacentral:rRNA from 1 species